UGUCAUUGGGGAGUAGCCGCUCUUCUUCUCGAAGAGGCUUGCGUCAACACACUUGACCGGAGAGGUCAUGGCGUAAGCGGUUCCCAAGCUUGGCAAGACCUUUGACCAUAACGCCUCCGACUAUGGCCGGGGACGCGUUGUGG
rnacentral:sRNA from 1 species